AUCUGCAUGUUUGUGGGUGUGAACUCAGGUGUAUUAUCUUUCAGUUAUUUUGUGGUAUUCAAUACCAUCAAACUUCAUAUUUUAUAUCACAAGAUAUUUAACAAUUAUUCGCCAAAGGGGAAGGAUAGGCACUGCGACGCAUACUGCAAACACAAAUGACCAAAAAAUAUAACUUUAAAACAAUUUGUAUUACUCUUACAGCUCACAUCAUUCAAAUAGCAAGAAUAUGAGCUUAGCAAAACCUAUCAAAUUGUGCGAACAGCAAUAUCCACCACCCAAGUAUAAUGUAUAUGCUAAAUAAAAACAGCAAACAAGUUUUUACAAAUCUGUUCACAAGCUGUGGACGAGUCGCACUGCUUGUUACCAGUUUUCGAAACAAGUUUGGAGCUGUUAACGACUUAUAACAAGCUUGAUGGCAUUAUCAGACCUGUUACUUUAUUCUAACAAAUCUGCUACAGUCAUGAUAUAACAAGAAUGUAACUAGAAGAAUGUUACUAUAACAAGAAGGUGGACUACACCAGGUUGCAGGGAUGGCUUUACUGGGCCGGGGAGGGGGGGGGGGUGCGGGGGUGCCCACCCCCUAGCCCUGGCCAGAGGGGGUGCAGGGAGGGUGCUAUUUUUCAUGAUAAAGCAAAAAAGACAAAAUGAGAUACAGCAAUUUGAGUAAUGACAUGAUGAUAAGUGAACUGUGAACAACAAUUACAAUUCAAAUACAGUAGUAGUUGAUGGGCGGGCGGCACACAUGACUGACACAACUCGCCAGUCGGCACCAGAGCACCCCGUCCCCCUACCAGAUCAUGCUGGAUCCAUCCUUGCAAGGUUGUGACAAUAAUGUUAUAUCAUGACUGUAUCGGACUUGUUGGUACAACCAUACAACAAGUCUGAUAAUGUAAACAAAGUUGUUACAAACUUCUUGACAACUUGGGACAAGCAGUGCGAAUGCAACUUGUUGGCAGACUUGCUACAAGAGGUGAGAUUUUUUCGUGUGUACUCAACUUGACCUUGCAAUGCAGUUGGUAGGACAUUGGAAUGGUUUUCCAAAGGUCACAGGUUCAAUUCCCACCACAUGCAGUGAAGCAUUUUUUAACUUGCCUGAUGUGGAAACUCAGAGUAACAUCAGUUCAGCGUGUUGACUAGUUCAUGAGUUCAGCACUACUCUUACCAGACAGAUAUUAGUUAUUUAUUACAAUAAAUUGAAUCAUAUUAAUUUGGUAACUGCCUUAAAAUUUAUAGAAAUUAUACAUGGUUGAAAAUUGUUAAAAAGGCAUUCACAGUUAUAAGAACUUAGUCAUUGUAUGAAUCUCAGAUUUCUAAGCCUCGCUUCUUUAGGUUAAAGCAUUUUAAACCCUCACACAUGUGAAGCUAAGAGUUUGUCUACCCCCCCCCCCUACCAUUUGUCCCCCUGCCUAUGAAGACAUAUGAUGUAUGUCAUCUGAAUGUUUGUUUCAUUGUUUGAGACAAUGACAAGAUGCAAAAACACUGUAUGUCUGUAAUGGUAUUCGCCACAUUAGGGGAUGUUUACAUGAUCCCGAGAUGAGAGACGGGAUAAUUUUGACAAACUGAAAUAAGUGAUGGUUCAUUAUUCAGCAAAACUACAUUAUUUUCUAGUGAUAGAUAUUGGUAUAAUUGCAAACGAAAGCUAAGAUUGUUCAAACAGCAAUAAUACUUUUUUUGAACCAUGAGAUUUCAGUUCUUUUAACCGGCAUUUGAACUUUUAAACCCAGUGACUUAUUUCAGUACAUCAAAAUCAUCCCAUCUCCCAUCCCCGCAAACUGGGACAAUGUAAACAGCCCUUAGUCAACCUAUCCCAUGCCAUGUGUAUUCAUGUGAUGUUCAAGUUGUUGUGGAUUAUCAAAUGAAAUACCACAAAGGGAACAGAUAUAUCGAAUAUCAGUUAGUUCUAUUUUCAUUUCUAGCUCUUCAGCACAGAUAUCACAUUGGUCAGAGAUGCCGUGCUCCCUCACCUUGUGUUGAAUCAAACUUUUCAGGUCAGGGAGUUGCUGGUUGCAAAUAUCACAUUCGUAAUGGUUGCAAGUUGACUUCUCUUGAAUUGUGGAUUUCUCUUGUGACAGAAUGCCAUGAUUAUCACGAUUAUUGUAAGGAUUUUUUUCAGUAUGUUUUCUCUUUUUAUGUCGGGCUAAGUGACUCAAUCGAGAAAAACACUCCUUGCAAAGAUCACAUUGAUGAGGUUUGUCUCCAGUAUGUGUUGAUUUAUGUCUUCUCAAGGAAUUAGAGCGAGAAAAUGUUUGGUGGCAGACAUCACAUUCAUAAGGUUUUUCGCCGGUGUGUGUUCUUUUAUGUCUUGUUAUGGCACCCGAUUGAGUGAAUAUUUGAUGGCAGACUUCACACUCAUAGCGUUUGUCUUCAGUGUGCUUGCUUUUAUGAUCUGUUAAAUGGGCUAGUAGGGAAAAUCUCUUGUUACAAAUAUCACAUUCAUGAGGUUUUUCCCGAGCGUGGAUUCUCUCAUGAUCAGUAAGGUGGCCUGAUCGUGCAAAUUUCUUGCCGCAAACAUCACAUUCAUACGGUUUCUCGCCAGUGUGUGUUCGUUUAUGCUCAGCUAAGUGGGAUGAACGGGAAAAUCUUUUCAGGCAAAUAUCACAUUCAUAACGUUUGUCUCCAGUGUGUGUUCGUCUAUGUCUUGAUAAAUUACCUUUAGUUGAAAAUGUCUUGUUACAAGUCUCACAUUCCAUUCUGUUUAUAAUUCGAUAACUUCAGUUAUCAAACAUAUAGAUCUACAUACACUGUCUGAAGCUCUUUAUUUUGUCUUCCGCAACAAUGCCUUCGACGGUUACAUGUAUUCACGGCAAAAUUGCUAUCGAAAAUUGAUGGAUUUUCUCAAAAAUGUUCAAUGCAACGUGCCAACAUACAAUACUGUCCGCCAUAUUGAAUUUAAGCUCG